CCCGCACAAGCGGUGGAGCAUGUGGUUUAAUUCGAAGCAACGCGAAGAACCUUACCAGGCCUUGACAUGCAGAGAACUUUCCAGAGAUGGAUUGGUGCCUUCGGGAACUCUGACACAGGUGCUGCAUGGCUGUCGUCAGCUCGUGUCGUGAGGUGUCGGGUUAAGUCCCAUAACGAGCGCAACCCCUAUCAUUAGUUGCCAUCAGGUCAAGCUGGGGACUCUAAUGAAACUGCCUACGCAAGUAGUGAGGAAGGUGGGGAUGACGUCAAAUCAGCACGGCCCUUACGUCCAGGGCUACACACGUGCUACAAUGGUCGGUACAAAGGGUUGCCAAGCCGCGAGGUGGAGCUAAUCCCAUAAAACCGAUCGUAGUCCGGAUCGCAGUCUGCAACUCGACUGCGUGAAGUCGGAAUCGCUAGUAAUCGUGAAUCAGAAUGUCACGGUGAAUACGUUCCCGGGCCUU
rnacentral:rRNA from 1 species